rnacentral:rRNA from 1 species
CGCAUCUGUGCAUGCAGCAUAUCAAUAAGCGGAGGAAAAGAAACUAACAAGGAUUCCCUUAGUAACGGCGAGUGAAGCGGGAAGAGCUCAAAUUUGAAAUCUUCAAGGUUUUACCUUGACGAAUUGUAGUUUAAAGAAGUGUUUUCUGUUGAAGUUUUGGUAAAAGUUCUUUGGAAUAGGACAUCAUAGAGGGUGAGAAUCCCGUAUUUGACCAUUAUUUUCAGCUGUGUGAUACACUUUCAAAGAGUCGGAUUGUUUGGGAAUGCAGUCCAAAAUGGGUGGUAAAUUUCAUCUAAAGCUAAAUAUUGGCGAGAGACCGAUAGCGAACAAGUACCGUGAGGGAAAGAUGAAAAGAACUUUGAAAAGAGAGUUAAACAGUACGUGAAAUUGUCAAAAGGGAAGCGUUUGACACCAGUGUUGUUUUCUCGAAAAUCAAUUAAAAAGAGUUAGAUUUUGUUGUGUAUUGACCUUAACAGCUUGCAUUUCAAUUUUCUUGCUUUUUUUAAUGCACUUUUCGUUUAACAAGUCAACAUCAGUUUCUUUUGUUGUAAAAAGGUCAUUGGAAGGUGGCUUUCUUUUCGGAGAAAGUGUUUAUAGCCUUUGACUCCUGCAAUCGGAGAGACUGAGGUCUGCAGCGUAGAUCCUUCGGGGUUAGAUACAUUUGUGCUAAGUUAUAGCUUUUUAUAGACAACUUGUUGACUAUGAUUAGUCUUGUAGCUUACUCGCUUAUGCUAUUUUACCUACGCUUAGGAUGUUGACACGCGCGCGUGCUCG